CCGCCGCCUUCCCACGCCCGCAGCCGCCGCCGCCAGCACCGGCCCCAUCGCAGCGACCGGCACCGACCCCGCGGCCCCCCCAAGGCGGGGGGGCCAUGGAGCACCGGAGCCGGUAGCAGCGGCCUCGUACGAGGACCCGGACCCAUUGCGCACAGGCCCCCUCUUUCCCCCCAUGGCCCCCCCUCCCCUUUCCCUCCCC